rnacentral:rRNA from 1 species
UACGGAGGGUGCAAGCAUUAAUCGGAUUUAUUGGGCGUAAAGGGCGUGUAGGCGGUUUUGUAAGUCAGAUGUGAAAUCCUAGAGCUCAACUCUAGAACAGCAUUUGAAACUGCAAUACUCGAGGGUAGAAGGGGAAAACAGAAUUCCACAAGUAGCGGUGAAAUGCGUAGAUAUGUGGAGGAACACCUGUGGCGAAGGCGGUUCUCUGGUUUAUACCUGACGCUGAGGCGCGAAAGCAAGGGGAGCAAACAGG